UGGUUCAAUGGUUAAGAUGUCUGACUGUUAAUCUUAGAUCGUGGGUUCGAUUCCCAC
rnacentral:tRNA from 1 species